CAUGCAAGUCGAACGGCAGCACGGAGCUUGCUCUGUGUGGCGAGUGGCGAACGGGUGAGUAAUAUAUCGGAACGUACCCUAGAGUGGGGGAUAACGUAGCGAAAGUUACGCUAAUACCGCAUACGAUCUAAGGAUGAAAGUGGGGGAUCGCAAGACCUCAUGCUCGUGGAGCGGCCGAUAUCUGAUUAGCUAGUUGGUAGGGUAAAAGCCUACCAAGGCAUCGAUCAGUAGCUGGUCUGAGAGGACGACCAGCCACACUGGAACUGAGACACGGUCCAGACUCCUACGGGAGGCAGCAGUGGGGAAUUUUGGACAAUGGGCGAAAGCCUGAUCCAGCAAUGCCGCGUGAGUGAAGAAGGCCUUCGGGUUGUAAAGCUCUUUUGUCAGGGAAGAAACGGUGAGAGCUAAUAUCUCUUGCUAAUGACGGUACCUGAAGAAUAAGCACCGGCUAACUACGUGCCAGCAGCCGCGGUAAUACGUAGGGUGCAAGCGUUAAUCGGAAUUACUGGGCGUAAAGCGUGCGCAGGCGGUUUUGUAAGUCUGAUGUGAAAUCCCCGGGCUCAACCUGGGAAUUGCAUUGGAGACUGCAAGGCUAGAAUCUGGCAGAGGGGGGUAGAAUUCCACGUGUAGCAGUGAAAUGCGUAGAUAUGUGGAGGAACACCGAUGGCGAAGGCAGCCCCCUGGGUCAAGAUUGACGCUCAUGCACGAAAGCGUGGGGAGCAAACAGGAUUAGAUACCCUGGUAGUCCACGCCCUAAACGAUGUCUACUAGUUGUCGGGUCUUAAUUGACUUGGUAACGCAGCUAACGCGUGAAGUAGACCGCCUGGGGAGUACGGUCGCAAGAUUAAAACUCAAAGGAAUUGACGGGGACCCGCACAAGCGGUGGAUGAUGUGGAUUAUUCGAUGCAACGCGAAAAAACCUUACCUACCCUUGACAUGG
rnacentral:rRNA from 1 species